UUUGUUUUUAAUUAAAUUCUUUUUUAAAUUUUUUAUGUUUUUUAAGAUUUUAAAACCAGGCUCAGAUUGAACGCUGGCGGCAGGCCUAACACAUGCAAGUCGAGCGGCAGCACGGGUACUUGUACCUGGUGGCGAGCGGCGGACGGGUGAGUAAUGCCUAGGAAUCUGCCUGGUAGUGGGGGAUAACGCUCGGAAACGGACGCUAAUACCGCAUACGUCCUACGGGAGAAAGCAGGGGACCUUCGGGCCUUGCGCUAUCAGAUGAGCCUAGGUCGGAUUAGCUAGUUGGUGAGGUAAUGGCUCACCAAGGCGACGAUCCGUAACUGGUCUGAGAGGAUGAUCAGUCACACUGGAACUGAGACACGGUCCAGACUCCUACGGGAGGCAGCAGUGGGGAAUAUUGGACAAUGGGCGAAAGCCUGAUCCAGCCAUGCCGCGUGUGUGAAGAAGGUCUUCGGAUUGUAAAGCACUUUAAGUUGGGAGGAAGGGCAUUUACCUAAUACGUAAGUGUUUUGACGUUACCGACAGAAUAAGCACCGGCUAACUCUGUGCCAGCAGCCGCGGUAAUACAGAGGGUGCAAGCGUUAAUCGGAAUUACUGGGCGUAAAGCGCGCGUAGGUGGUUCGUUAAGUUGGAUGUGAAAUCCCCGGGCUCAACCUGGGAACUGCAUUCAAAACUGUCGAGCUAGAGUAUGGUAGAGGGUGGUGGAAUUUCCUGUGUAGCGGUGAAAUGCGUAGAUAUAGGAAGGAACACCAGUGGCGAAGGCGACCACCUGGACUGAUACUGACACUGAGGUGCGAAAGCGUGGGGAGCAAACAGGAUUAGAUACCCUGGUAGUCCACGCCGUAAACGAUGUCAACUAGCCGUUGGGAGCCUUGAGCUCUUAGUGGCGCAGCUAACGCAUUAAGUGACCGCAUGGAGACCCCGCACUUUGGG
rnacentral:rRNA from 1 species